UUGCACGCUGGCGGCAUGCUUUACCCAUGCCAUUCGAACGGUAACAGCACUUCGGUGGCUGACGAGUGGCGAACGGGUGAGUAAUACAUCGGAACGUGCCUAGUAGUGGGGGAUAACUACUCGAAAGAGUAGCUAAUACCGCAUGAGAUCUAAGGAUGAAAGCAGGGGACCUUCGGGCCUUGCGCUACUAGAGCGGCUGAUGGCAGAUUAGGUAGUUGGUGGGAUAAAAGCUUACCAAGCCGACGAUCUGUAGCUGGUCUGAGAGGACGACCAGCCACACUGGGACUGAGACACGGCCCAGACUCCUACGGGAGGCAGCAGUGGGGAAUUUUGGACAAUGGGCGCAAGCCUGAUCCAGCAAUGCCGCGUGCAGGAUGAAGGCCUUCGGGUUGUAAACUGCUUUUGUACGGAACGAAAAGCCCUCUUCUAAUACAGGAGGGUCAUGACGGUACCGGAAGAAUAAGCACCGGCUAACUACGUG
rnacentral:rRNA from 1 species